rnacentral:rRNA from 1 species
CCUACGGGUGGCUGCAGUGGGGAAUUUUGGACAAUGGGCGCAAGCCUGAUCCAGCCAUUCCGCGUGAGUGAAGAAGGCCUUCGGGUUGUAAAGCUCUUUCGCAAGGGAAGAACACUUAUCCUCUAACAUAGGAUGAGGUUGACGGUACCUUGAUAAGAAGCACCGGCUAACUACGUGCCAGCAGCCGCGGUAAUACGUAGGGUGCGAGCGUUAAUCGGAGUUACUGGGCGCAAAGCGGUAAGUGACUGUUGAAAGCCCCGAGCUCAACUUGGGAACUGCGUUUGAAACUACAAGACUAGAAUAGGUCAGAGGGGGGUAGAAUUCCACGUGUAGCAGUGAAAUGCGUAGAGAUGUGGAGGAAUAUCAAUGGCGAAGGCAGCCCCCUGGGAUCAUAUUGACGCUCAUGCACGAAAGCGUGGGGAGCAAACAGGAUUAGAUACCCCAGUAGUC